GAUGAACGCUAGCGGCAGGCAUAAUACAUGCAAGGCGAAGGGGCAGCAAUGUCACUGUCGUACGGGUGCGUAACGCGUAUGCAACCUACCUAUCACUGGGGGAUAGCCCGGGGAAACCCGGAUUAAUACCGCAUAAAACAGGGGCACCGCAUGGUGAUAUUUGUUAAAGAUUUAUUGGUGAUAGAUGGGCAUGCGUUCGAUUAGCUAGUUGGCGGGGUAACGGCCCACCAAGGCGACGAUCGAUAGGGGAGCUGAGAGGUUGGUCCCCCACACGGGCACUGAGAUACGGGCCCGACUCCUACGGGAGGCAGCAGUAGGGAAUAUUGGGCAAUGGAUGCAAGUCUGACCCAGCCAUGCCGCGUGCCGGAUGAAGGCCCUCAGGGUUGUAAACGGCUUUUAUUCGGGAAGAAGAGCAGGGAUGCGUCCUUGUGUGACAGUACCGAAUGAAUAAGCACCGGCUAACUCCGUGCCAGCAGCCGCCGUAACAC
rnacentral:rRNA from 1 species